AUAUAUAUAUAUAUAUAUAUAUAUAUAUAUAUAUAUGCUGACGGACAUGGGCAGCUUACUUUGUUGGGGGAAAGACAAAGACACGAAAUCCCAUUCUAAAGUUUCAGCAGGAACCACUGAGAAGCGCACAACACAUUCCCACCACUGCAGACUCCUGCUGUGCAUCCCAAAGCUGCCUCUCAGCAGAGUCGGCGGAGAUACAGCAGCUGGGAACACUGAAAUGCUUCUACAAGCAUCCUCCUUUAUUCCGAUUUUGUGUCUUUAGCCUAUUUUUUUUUUUCCCCAAAGUGUGCCGGCGCUGUGAAAUUACAAUGUUACAGUAUUCCUACAGCAUUGACUGCGUAUGCUGUCAGCCAUGUGCAGACAAAGCAAAAUGGCACUUUAUCCCCAACAUAUACUGAAUGUUUGUCUAUUUGGGACUAUAUUCCACUGAUGUGUUGUAGCACUGUCUCGUGUCGAGCUGAAAGUCAAGGUUAACAGCAGCAAACACAACAUUAUUUAAAUAGGCUUUGUGGUUAUGUCUGCCCUUUAAUCAGAAACUUAAUGAGACAGUUUCAAAUGUAUAUUGCAUGUGUCUGCACUGGCCACAGUUUGGGGUCAAAGGUCAAAUCUGAUCAAAGUCUUCCAAACGGCAAAACAAAUAAAGACAAUGAGAAUUCUUAAUUCCAGUUUAGACACAGUGUUAAACCUUUUCUAUUUAAUGAGAAUAUAACACGUAUCACAGGGCAAUUUAAAACAAUGGAAAGCAAUGAAAUCAAAGGAUGAAAUCACCAGAGUCAUUACUGAACUCCAAACGCAGGACCAAUCAAUAGGUUUAGGGUUUUUUUUAAAUGAAAGAAGCAGCUUUCUGUCUGCUGCAACUUUGGCACUUGUUACACAAAUGCCAAGUCAAAUUAUGCCUCACUACUGGAUAAUAUUUUGUUGAAGCUCCAAUUAUUAUCUAACUUGAGCUCUGUAAAUGUCGUCCACUCACAAAAACACUUUUUUUGGACCAUUUUCAAUGAUUAUUUUUCAUUUUGUUUGUAAUUUUCAAUCAUUAAUUGGUUUGAAUUCACAUCGAAUGUUAUGUAAUUUUUCAGAAACCUGAGAGGCAAACACAUUGUUUUAACUAAGGAAUCACAAGAAUCAUAUGCCACUAGAUUUGCCGUUUCUUGCAGCCUAUUCCAGUGUCCAUAAAUGUGUGCAAAAAAAAAAAGGAAAUGAAAAAAAGAAAAGAAAAAAGAGUGGUCUCUGCAUCCUUCUAGCUAGAAUAAGAUCCCUCUUUGUAUUUAUAGCUUCACCUGCAAUUUGCUUUCUCAUAAUUGCGAUUGUGUAAAAAGAUAUUAGGUGCACUGGAAAACUGUAAUGGGGGCGCGGCUGAAAGUAAUAGCAGUCAACUGGCAACCCAUAAUAAACUGCGGGGUAUAAGAACGUGGACAUGGUUUAAUGCUCCGAAGCUUGCUGCUGCGUGUUACAAUUGAUUUUCAGAUUAAUGCCUUUGCCAAUGACUUGUAGUGGCAUUAAAAGUAAAACAUAAACCGUAACGGUUGGUAUUUCUCUAGCUGGAUACGUGGAGGAUGUCCGCGAUAGGUUAUGCUGCCAGGCACGCGCUUGUAAAAAUCUGCCAUUUAACCUCACUGAAUAUCCAUUUUGUCCUGCAGCAAAGAUGGAGCUGAGGGUUUGGAAAACAGUGAGCUUAUUCUCCUGCUGCACUCACACCACAUCCUAUCCUACGCGCCGGCCACUGAAUUAUUCAACUGUUUUUUACCUGUGAGGCAAGCAGGCCCUGUUCAGGGCUGCCCCAGUAUGAUCUAUAAUUAAAUAUAAUGCAACAUGAAAGUGCAUAAGACAUGAGACUUGGGUUUGGACAAGUCACUCAGACUUCCUCCUAGUUAUCCACUUUCUGCCGGUUCAUAUGCUGACUGCAGCUGUUUUUAUUUUUGAGUAUUUGUUUUACAUGCUUUUUCAGCCUUUUCUUGCCCACCGUAGUGCAUUUUUUCUUCUUUUUCCUUUGCUUGGCUACUCUCUGAGUAAGAGGUCUUGAGUGUUUGCUCUCAGCAGUUGACAUUUGGAGGACAAUAAGAUCAUGUCAUGUUUGAUUGUGCUAUUAUUGUCUUGCUGUUCUCUAAGUACACAGUAUUACACCCAAUAGGGCCCCUGUCUCUUGCAGCAUGUUUGCUUUGUUCCCCCUGGCAGCUCAAUCAUAAAGCCUUUCCGAGCGCACACUCAGAAAUAAUCCUGCUGUGCAUUUAAAAAAUAUGACCAUAACAAAAACGUUUACAGUCUCUCUAAAUUGACCAUUACCUCAACCACAGUUCGCGCAGAAACGGACACAACAAGUAAGGACAAGCUUACCGAUAUGCUUUGAAUCAAUUCUUAACUCUGCAUCUUUGUGUGAGACUGUGAGUAGGGGGGGAGAAAUGUUACUUAGCAAAAUCAAACAGUGAUAAACUUUUAGUGUAUAUGGAAAUCUCAGUGACAGUUACCCUUGCACAGACACACACACACACACACACAAACACACGCACACAAACACACCACAGUGGGAUCCUCACAUCUGUCCAAAUGUGAACUGUAAUAUCUCCACCUUGCAGGCGGCUGUGGGGAGGGAAGGCUUAGCGGCUCGCUCACUUUCUUCCUUCACUGGCUGUGAAGUGGAGUCUGAGGUGUCAGGAGUUUUUUUUUCCUUCCUCCACCCCCCCUCCUCUCUCUCUCUUACUCUUACUUCAUCUUUUCACAGCAAAUACGUCUCUAUAGUGGUGGAGGCUGUGCUUUACAGGGAGCACUGUGAGCGCUGAUAAGAAGCUGAAAGCAGAUAUGUACAUCCUGGAGUGAGCUGCAGAGACACAGUCAGGGAGACAGAAAAACAGAUCACGUACAUUAUGUUUCUAGGAUUUACAUGUGGCAUAUAAUACAGAUGUUUUAGCAGAGGGUGACUGUAAAUAGCCGGCCAACUUCUUCCUUUGCACCUAGAAGCCUAGUGACGGGAUUGUGAAUGCUUGCAAUGAUAAAGGAUAGAGGAUGCAACGCCAUGUCUCAUUUUGCCUCCCAGACAAAUUGAGUUGACCCUUCCAUCACUGUUGUGCCCCCCCAAAAAAUUCAAAAAAUAAUCUCCGUCAACAGGCAAUAUAAACAGAAUGAGUGUUUAUUCCCUACAGCCAUGUUCUGGGAGUAUUUAGAGAGUUGCACCCCCCCAGACAAGCUUUUACCUCUUCCCCUUUAUAAAGACCCAGCAAUUACUCUGGUUUGCUGACACCCUGAAUACCACUACAACAAUGCCUCUUCUUUCUCGGCAAGACCCCCCACCCCCUCCAAACGCACACACGCGCGCACACACACACACACACGCACAUCUUUCUACCAUCCUCCCCAACCAAACACCCUCUUUGCCCCCCUUAUUCCCCUCCUCAAAUACAAAGUUGCCCAUGGUUGCUAUGGCUACUGCAGGAGUUCAUAAAUCCCAGCGCACAGGGACUUGAAAAUGAUCAGGAGGAUUUUUUUUGGGGGGGGGGUAGGAUGAAGGAUUUGGAUGAGGAAGGUAAAAGGGAGAGAGCGGGUGAGGCAGGGAAGACGCCCGUCCCUCUACUCCACUACGCGCCCCCGCAGCAGCAGAUGGUGCCGUGCGGCGCCGCCAUGCCACCGUGGUCUCCUUCUGAUCGAGCGCCGCUGCCAUAAGGAGGCAGAUGUGAUUGCCUUUACCAGAAAUCCUAGGAAAGAGGCCUUGGAAGUCGACUCCCUGCUGUUAAUGCAGUGAGAGAGGAGCCGAGGAGCGGCCGGGCAAGCGAAGACAGCGGCCACCUCACACCAGGUGAUUGACUGAACAAACUCCAUUCUGAGCAGUAAUAAUACAGCAUCAGUAGGUGCUGGGCUCGCAGAACGGUGACAUUCGUAAUGCUAUUAUGUGUUCAGAAUCACAUUUGCAAUCUGAGGAACUUGACUGUCCUCUAUUUUCUAUUUUUUUUACUCCUUGCCAGUGGAACUAUUGCAGCACUUCGAUUGUGGCUCUCUGGUAAAACGUUUUGCUUUUAUAUCGGAAUUAUAUCAAAAUUACAAAGAACUAUCUGGUUGCGAUAUUUUCAAACAAUUUCAAAAUAAAGUAUCAAUAGUUUAAAUUCCACAAUAAACUGUAUAUGAUAUAGUUCAACAGUAGUAGAAGUAACUAUUCCUUAUCUGCAAUGCAGAUAAAAAUUCACUAAAGGUAUCCUUGGUUGUUAGAUUACUUUUCCAAUUUCAUCUGAAAAUAUUUGUUAUAUUUUUAUUUCUUUCCAGCUGGACUGCUUUCUCCCCCAUUUACACAUCUUAGCCUGCUUGUAUUAUGGUCAUCAAAUAUCCCAUAAUUAAUUAGCAAAAAAACAGAUCUUCAUAAAAAAUGUCAAACAUGCUGGAAGUGCGAACAAAUAAGGUAACAUUUUGGUGCAUACAAUAGUAUUAUUACCUAAAAUAUGAAAAGAAUCACAGGAUUUUGGCAUUGUUCAGGUUACAGUGGCUAUAAAAUAUUGAUUCAUUAUUCUUUUUUAUAUUAUUUCUGUCAAGCCACUUUUUAUAAUCAUGUGAGUAAGGAUUAAUUUUGAGGGCACUAAGAAAUUACUGUUUUGGUUUUUUUUAACAAUUAUUAAUUUCAAACUUUAGCCAAUGUAACCAGAGCUGCAGACAUACUGGAUGGAAAACAAUGGUGCCGGUCAAAAAAAAGGACUCAUACAUGAAGAAAUUGUCUAUUUAACACCGAAACCUUUCUUUGCAUAUUUGAAGCUGGUGGCAGAUGCUGUUCUUCUGCAAGUGGAUUAGCUCCUUUUUCAUUUUAGUUGAGCUGAGAGGUGUAUUUGUUGCAUCACAUGUUAUUCUGCAUGGACAUACAUUCAUCCACACAGAUGUGUAUGGUUUGCCAUUUCAUUGUGAUCGUAUUGCCUGCAAGUGGUCCAAUGCCAGCUACUAAAACAUUGUGGUUGAAGAUGAUGACUUGGCCAAAAUCCAAGCCUUGUUAUACUGUAUGGUAGCAUGAAAUGAAAUUCUUUGCAUGCUGGGGUAGGCUCCGGCCACAGAAAAUGUAUGGAAUUUAUUUAUAGCCUCAACCCGAUUUCCACCCAAGCUGGGCUGUGCCUGGUAUUUCCAGAUGUUUAAUUGUAGCCCCGUCAGUUCCCAUGUAAAGUUUUUCAUUUGAGUCGACAGUUUCAAACAGCGAGUGGGUUAAGGAAAAAAAGAAAAUCUGCCUAAACAUAAAGAGUCUAUCAAAAGAGCCAUACAAGAUACAGCAGAAUGCCUCUGGGAUGAUGACGGUCUGAAUUAGACCGAGGUAUAUUCUCUGAAAACUUAGAGCCUAAUUGUAAACCGGUCCCUCUGCCACAAUUUCAGAGCUCAAAGUUGAUUCCAUAUAGCUGAUUUGAAAAGACUUGAAAGAGAUGAGAGAACAAAACCACUUAACCAAGAGGCAAAAAUACAUAUAUACGAUGGAUUUAGCCCAUCCAAACUCCCAGCCCCUCUACAGCAGUUGGAAGUCAACAAGACCCAAGGGAAAAUGGUUUAGGGAUCCAUUUGGAUUGGGACCCACAGUACCUUUGUAUCUCAUUGGCAGGGAGAAGUUGCCCUCCGGCUUCAAGACGAAACCACUCUUGCCUUUCUUUUGAGAUCCUGCCUGUUGUUGCUGUCUAUUUGUGUAGGUAGGGGAGCAUGCUAGUGACUCAGGCAGACAGCUGUAAUUAAGGCCAGCUUCUCAGCCGGAUGAGCAGCAAGAGAUAAUGCGGAUGUGUACAAACUACCAACACCCCCCCAUCCUACUCACAAACACACACACACACACACACACACACACACACAGACCUAUACGCAGCAUGGACAACUUCUGUGGCACACCCGAUUUGCAGUCAUACGCAGAGGCAUGUGCAAAAAGAUGAAAGCAUCAGAAAAUCUCUGUAAUGAAUUGAACAAGUAGGACACUGCUCAUUAGAGAUGCGUUUGUGUAUGUGAGGCACUGGCAAUUCAUUAUUUUCAGCCCGACAAAUUCCGGUGCAAGUCGGCGGAAUCAGAAAGAGAUUUUAAUAUGUUUUCAACACAGAAAAUCUGUUCAGCAGUUAGUCAGGAUGGGCGCACACCAAAAGAGGAAGACACAUAUUUGCUUUAAAAGGCUUCUGCUGUCUUGAUGGUUUUUUUAAUUUUUUAUUGUGGUGUAACGUGACUAUGAAAGGACUUAAAAUUCAUUUUGUUUAUAUUUGGAGGGUUAAAGAUGAGAGCCGAAAGGGAAUGCAUUCAUGUCCCAUGGGCAAUGUCAGAAGACUCACAGAUGGAGCAAUAGAGUAAAUAAGGUUUCACAAGACAGAGAAGAAGGUGAAACCAUAUAUGUACUCUGACCAGAAUCCAUGCAAUGCUAAUAAGUAGCCCAGACAAAUAUGAAAGCAAUUCAAGCAAGUCCAACUGUACCCUACAACAACCCUAAAGGCCUGUGCACUGUACUGUAACUCUGUCAUAACUCAAUUCCUCCUCUUCCGCCACCUUUUCUGGACCUGCUAAGCCCCGGUCCACCCCAGUGCCCAGAUUGCACCGUUGCUUGGCUGCCUGAGGCUUCAUUGAAUAGACACUUCCUGUACUUUAGAGCCGUGAUGAACCAGCCCCUUUAUGCUCCCAAGCACUCGUCGCUUUUGUCGUCAGUACGCCUCACCUCCCCUUCACCGGUAGCGUAGAGAAAAACAACAGAGAGCUCCCAGGGCCUAGUCAAACACACAAGCACAAUCAUGUUAACCCACCAUUGUUACCCCCAAUCUCCUCCAUUGAGGUUUUUAAAGAGUGGUGGACUGAGGACCUUAUUGCAAUAAACCUCUCAACAUGUUUGGAGCCCCAUGGCCCCUUUCUGGGCCGGGGCGUUGCCUCCAAUUACGAUGGCAUUGAGACCCCUCUUCUGUAAUUACGUACAAGCCUUCUUCCACACUGCUCUACAAAGAGAGCCUCCUGUUUUGCAUGUGAAUCAACUGGGCCACGUUGUUAAAGUCAGCUUUGCUUAGGCUGUAUUUACCAUGCUAACGAUGUCCCUCUAAAUAUUAGAUGGAUGCAGAAUAAAUUGGUUACAAUGCUCUUAACUUUAUGAAGGCGACUGGUCUACAACUCACGUGAAUAAACAGAGCACAGAUAAGAGACAUUUCAAGUGGUUUGAAUUAUAUUUCGUAAAUAUUGAUGAUUUGCAUUUUUUUCUCUCCAUGUGUCAUGUUACAAGUAAGAAUAUUUCUUGUACGGAAACUGGAAACAUGGUGAUAUUCUAUUUUCUUUGAAAUGCAACUGGGUGAUGAGACAAUCAUUUAAAUUACUGCAUCUUUGUGUGUUUAUUUUUUUCUUGAUUCAGUGGAUUAACUGGUGCCAAAACUACCAGACAAAUUAUCCUAAGCAGUGUGCAAUGCUCAGUCAAGUUAGGUACUUUUUUUAAUUGAUUAUUCAUUUUCGAAUCGCAGUGAAAAGAAGCUCUAGUGUGACUUUUCUGAAGUGAUAUGGCAGUAUGGUCUGAUUCAAAAUGAAUGAUCCAGUCACUUUACAGUAAUAUGAACUCACGUCUCAACUUGUCCAACUGUACUCAGUUUACUUCAGCUGUUUCAGGAAACCUAUUGUUGACUUUGUAUCAUCCUGCCCACUCAAAGUUUCUGCGCUGCCAUGACGUUUAGGAGACUGGGGUGAGAGGCUCAAAGCUAUUUAACAUUGCGGGGGUUUUUCUCUGUUUGGGGGGAAUGACACAUUCUAUCCAGCCCACUAGGAACAAUGCCACAAGAAACCCGCAGAUAUCACUUCUGAAAACUGUUAAAUGUUUCAGGGUGGACUACGGUGGAAAUAAACUUGAGCUUUAUUGUG